rfam:Streptomyces cellostaticus strain DSM 40189 genomic scaffold PRJNA299219_s013, whole genome shotgun sequence.
UCGGCUCCGGUUCACGCGUCCGCAUCCCGCGGCUGCGACCCGGCGCC